CCUUCCUUUUACGCUCGCAUGGAUGAGUUCUGCGUUACCGCCUCCUCUCACAUCUAAAACGUCCCUUUCCUCCCCACCGCUGCUCCCUCAGCUCUCCCUGGGAAAGGGAAAUCCUCUUACCUUGGGCCAAAAAAAGGGGGGGGAAAGUGGUAUCCGCCCUUCCCGGAUUUUCCCCCAGCCUUGCGAUGUCCUUUGUGUCAAGGUCUGGCUGCCUUGGCGGAUGAAAGGUGCCCUCAGUCAGCGAGGACUGGGCGGGAAGGCUCGGCGUGGCGUGGCGGAUUUCCGAGGAAGGUGAAGGGCGGCGACCUUCAGGCGGAGCGGCGUGCCGCCCCAGCCCGCGCACUCCUGGCUCUCCUCCUCCUUUCGGGGCCGAUUGCAUCAGAAGCUCCCCCCACCAGCAACCCUUACCCACACGGUGCUCGCCAGCCUCGCACUCACAUCCGCUCGCUCGGCCGCAGAGGGUCUCGAAUCAAAUCACAGUCAUUCUCCUACUAGGGGACGCGUCGCCCUUGCGCAUCCAUGGCUCGCGAUGGUUUAGCUGUUCAGGCUAUUUAUCCGCGUCUCGCGUGCCGUCGCCUCCCCUCCUGCGCGUCCGCUCUUUAACCGAAGCUGCGUGUCACUGAGCGGUGCCCGUCACAUGGUGUCUCUUGCCUAGGCGGCCGCCCCUGGCUGCCUCCGUGUCGCCGUCCACCGAGUAUGCGGCGACCGCGGCCGGCGAAGGUUGAGCAUCGGAAAGAGAGAGGGAGCGAGGGAGGGGUUGCGGGGCGCUUGUGUGUCGGGAGCGCCGGCGGUGGCACCGGGAGCGGAAUGUGCGCGCAGCCUGGACACCUGCCCCACGCCCUCCUGGUGCCCUGCGAUGAGCCCAGAGCCCAGCUGCAGCGGUGGCCGGAGACUGGGAGCCCUCGGAGAUGGAGAGGGGAGGUGGCUUGGAGGGCACGGAAGGAGGCGAGGAGGACUGUGCGAUGGGGAGCUGGGGGUGCAUUGAGGGGCAGUGUGUUUCCUUAAAAUGGCGACAGGAAAUCCCACCUGCGCGUCAGCCAAUGAGACAGUCAGCGGCGCGCGAAUUUGCGCGGUGGAAACUCGAGCCUUCUAUUGACAGGAAUGGUUGCGUCUCCGUGUUCCAUCAAAACAGGAAAAGGAAGGUGAAUCAUCUUUCAAAAAUUAAUCUAC
ensembl:lncRNA